CCUACACCCUAGUCAGGAACCACUCACCAUACACCUAGUCAGGAACACUGACCUACACCCAGUCGGAACCACUGACCCAUAACCCUAGUCAGUAACCACACCCCACACCCUAGUCAGGAACCACUAACCCCUACACAGGAACCACUGACCCAUACACCCUAGUCAGGAACCACUACCCCUACACAGAACCACUACCCAUAACCCUUCAGGAACCAUGACCCCUAGCCCGACACCCUAGUCAGUAACCACUGACCUCUAACCCGACACCCUAGUCAGUAACCAACUGACCCCACCCCCAAACCUAGUCGAACCACAGACCCAUAUCGCCUUACGCAGAGGUUACAGGACCUAAAACAACCACAUUGGAUAUUGAUAUUCAGACACAUGGUGAGGUAGAGAAGUAGAAACAGGGAAAGGGGAUUCUUAGUCAGUUAUACAACUGAAUGCCUUCAACUGAAAUGUGUCUUCUGUAUUUUAACCCAACCUCUGAAACAGGAGGUGUGGGGGACUGCCUUAAUCGACAUCCACGACUUCGGCGCCCGGGGAACAGUGGGUUUAUUGCCUGCUCAGGGCGAGCAGAACGACAGUUUUAUCUUGUUAGCUCUAGGAUUCGAUCCAGAAACCUUUAUGAUUACUGGUGCCAAUGCUCUACCCACAUAAACCCCAGGCCUUGUCCCUAAAAACAGACACAUGGUGAGGUACAAACACACAUAAACCCCAGGCCUUGUCCCUAAAAACAGACACAUGGUGAGGUACAAACACAAUAAACCCCAGGGCCUUGUCCCAAAAACAGACAUGGUGAGGUACAAACACACAUAAACCCCAGGCUUGUCCCUAAAAAAGACACAUGGUUACGGUACAAAAUCACACAUAAACCCCAGGCCUUGUCCCUAAAAACAGACAUGGUGAGGUACAAACACACAUAAACCCCAGGCCUUGUCCCUAAAAACAGACACAUGGUGAGGUAGAAGGGUGUAAAUGUAGAAAGCCAUCACCGACAGCUGUCCAAGAUUCUACAUGGUGAAUAAGGAAAGACAACCUCUGAUCACAGGCAACAAUGAAGAACACAUCAAACUGACUAUCCAAGGUCCCUCCCCUCAGAGCCUCUCCAAUGGUUUAGAGGAGGAUGCAAGGGUAGAGGAUGCAAGGGAUCGAGGAAAGAUUAAUUGASAAAGAUCCUUCCUCGUGUCUCCUUUUCUCCUUCUUCCAUCCCUCCACUUGCACACAGUUUCCACAGGGCUCUCCCCUGCCUCGGGGCCUGUAAUUAGGGCCAUUGUGGCCUGGCCUGCUCCCUCUCACUGCCCCUUCAGCUGGCGGACCUGGUUCUAGACGGCCCAGUGUGGCGUCCCACAAGCCAUCAGGAUGGGCUGCCGGCCCAGCGCUACACAGAUCCCAGCAACCCUCAGACACGUGAUGUAAACACUGGCUGCAGUCCAAACUCAAAGUAGACGGCUCUCGGCCCCUAACCCCUCAGUCCUUGAAUGACGUUUUACAUCGUCACAUCCCAGUGAACCUUAAAAUGUCCCUUGCCCAAGCGAGGGAGAGUGAUGUUCGGAGAGGCAAYGUCCUAGGUGGAAAUCUUCAAGUUGAUUUAAAAAACAACCAACCUAAAGCUAUUAAUAUACUGUACCUAGCAAGCUAACGUAGCUCACUAGCACUCCUGUCAGGUAGCUAGCUAAAGUCCCCCAUAGCUGGCAAGCUAGUUUUAUAGUAUGGUCAUGUAUUCCAAUAAAUUUCAGAAUUUCCCAAAAAGAUGUUUAUGAAGCUAGCUACGUUUUAUAGGCUCCUCACUACGAGACUAAACCAAUUUGUCAAUGCUAAAAUCAAUGUCAUCCACAGUAUAUAUAUUUUUCACCAAGCUAGCAUCSUAAGUUUGUCUGACGCGGUGAAAAUAGAGCCGUGUUGAUUAAAUUUGACACUUCGCGACACAUGGCUACAGUUUGCAUUGAAUUGUGGGUCAUAUCAACCCCAAAAGUGAUUCAUGUUCUUCACUCACUCUCUCCAGAUAAAUGGAGGGCCGAGGGGGCAACGUUAGUGAACUGGACCUCCAUUUAAGAUGGCAAUCAAACUGCAUCCGGUUCUGACGGGGGUUCCCCCGAGGGAAAGUGGCUAACGCGAGGGCUGAGGGGGUACAAAUAACAUGUUUGGACUGCAGCCACUCUCUCUGUCCUUUCUCUAUUAGGGAAGAGGGGAGGGAAGAGAAGAAAGAAGGAUAUUAUAAAGAUCUUCUCUCAUCUCUCUUUCCCUUUCUGUUGAUCUCUCCUUCUCUGGUCCUGGCCUACCAGUUGGCCUCCAGUCCAGGAUGGUUAUUAGGGACUUUACAUGCUUAUCAGUUAGGAAUGAUUAUGGAGGCCCAGCCCAGAGCCUGGGGUUCCAUUACCACCAGAGGCCUGGGCAGAGGCCUCCCCCCUGGGGACACAAGCCCCCCACCCCCCUGGUGAGGGAGGGGUGGGCAUGAAGUUCCAUGAAGAGUACGUCCAGCACAUAAACCAGUCUCUGCUUUAUCACCUGCUGUCAAUAAAACAUCAGUGAACAAGCAAGAUCCACUGACAGACAGCAGCCAGUCACUUUAAGUAUGUUUGUUUCAGUCAUUACAUCACCCAAUCAAAUGACAGAGAUGGACACCUUUGCACCCAACCUGAUACCAAAGAAAGACAGCACUCAGCUGUGGGACACUGGUCCAGCUGUAAGCGCCUGGGAGCAGUGGGGUCUCCCGAGCACAAGGGGGUGCUAUUCAACCCACAGGGUUGCCAGGUAUCACAUGAGUUAUUAACCACAGGGUUGCCAGGUAUCACCUGAGUUAUUAACCACCGGGUUGCCAGGUAUCA
rnacentral:lncRNA from 1 species